rnacentral:rRNA from 1 species
UACGAAGGGGGCUAGCGUUGUUCGGAAUUACUGGGCGUAAAGGGCGCGUAGGCGGUCUUGUCAGUCAGGCGUGAAAGGCCCGGGCUCAACCUGGGGACUGCGCUUGAUACUGCGAGGCUUGAAUCCGGGAGAGGAUGGCGGAAUUCCCAGUGUAGAGGUGAAAUUCGUAGAUAUUGGGAAGAACACCGGUGGCGAAGGCGGCCAUCUGGACCGGUAUUGACGCUGAGGCGCGAAAGCGUGGGGAGCAAACAGG